UACCAGCACCCCGAGUGGUCGGGACGAUUAUUGGGCCUAAAGCAUCCGUAGCCGGUUUUACAAGUCCUCCGUUAAAUCCAACUGCUUAACAGAUGGGCUGCGGAGGAUACUAUAGAGCUAGGAGGCGGGAGAGGCAAGCGGUACUUAGUGGGUAGGGGUAAAAUCCGUUGAUCCAUUGAAGACCACCAGUGGCGAAGGCGGCUUGCCAGAACGCACUCGACGGUGAGGGAUGAAAGCUGGGGGAGCAAACCGG
rnacentral:rRNA from 1 species